GAACGAGAAAGUGGAGCAAUCCAUGAGUAAAGUGGCGACCGGGUGAGUAACACGUGACUAACCUACCUCCGAGUGGGGAAUAACUCCGGGAAACCGGGGCUAAUACCGCAUAACAUCGCAAGAUCAAAGCAGCAAUGCGCUUGGAGAGGGGGUCGCGGCUGAUUAGCUAGUUGGCGGGGUAACGGCCCACCAAGGCGAAGAUCGGUAUCCGGCCUGAGAGGGCGCACGGACACACUGGAACUGAAACACGGUCCAGACUCCUACGGGAGGCAGCAGUGGGGAAUAUUGGACAAUGGGGGCAACCCUGAUCCAGCGACGCCGCGUGUGUGAAGAAGGCCUGCGGGUUGUAAAGCACUUUUAGUGGGGAUGGAAAGCUCAGGGCUAACACCUCUGGGUCUUGACCUAACCCACAGAAAAAGCACCGGCUAACUCUGUG
rnacentral:rRNA from 1 species